CAUUUGAAUGCAUGUGCUGGUGUUGAUCUUCCAAACAUUAGUUAUUUUGCAUAAAUAGUCUUUCAUUAAGGAGCUUUUGCAUACUUUCUUUUGAUGAAAGUACUGCUGCGGGUCUUUAUAUUCUUCUUCGAGCAGCUGACCGGUUUGCUGCAAACUAUAACAAAUUUUCUGGCCAAUAUGAUGGUGAUACGGAUGAGGAUAUAUUCCAACUGAAAACUACAACUGUUGGCCUACUCAACGACCUUGGUUGCAAUGGCUUCACCUUAUCAGAAGACCUUAUUAAUGAGAUGUCUCAAUAUGAUGCUUCAGAGCUUCAUGCUAUAGCUUCCUUCGUUGGAGAAGUUGCAUCACAAGAAGUGAUCAAGCUCAUCACUAGACAAUUCAUUCCCAUGUCUGGGAAUUUCAUCUUUAACGGCGUAGAUCACAAGUCUCAACUGUUGUUGUUGUAGUCUCCGAAUUUAUAG